rnacentral:rRNA from 1 species
UACAGAGGGGGCAAGCGUUAUUCGGAAUUAUUGGGCGUAAAGGGCGCGUAGGCGGCCGUGCAAGUGGAAGGUGAAAUCCCUCGGCUCAACCGAGGAACUGCCUUUCAAACUGCUUGGCUUGAGUCCGGGAGAGGUGAGUGGAAUUCCCAGUGUGAGCGGUGAAAUGCGUAGAUAUUGGGAGGAACACCAGUGGCGAAGGCGGCUCACUGGACCGGAACUGACGCUGAGGCACGAAAGCGUGGGGGAGCAAAGCAGG